GCGUUUGCCGCUUAGCACCCUUGCCUCCCUGUGGCAGCCUCCUCUUGAGCCCUUGGGACUUUUCACAAACUCUGUCCCUCUCUUCUUUGGGGAUCGAGGUCAGGAAGGUGGAGGCUGUGGAUUUUUCUUUUUUUUUUUUUUUUGAGACAGAGUCUCGCUUUGUCGCCCAGGCUGGAGUGCAGUGGCGGGAUCUUGGCUCACUGCAAGCUCUGCCUCUGGGGUUCGCACCAUUCUGUUGCCUCAGCCUCCUGAGUAGCUGGGACUACAGGCGCCCGCCACCACGCCUGGCUAAUUUUUUGUAUUUUUAGUAGAGACGGGGUUUCACCCUGUUAGCCAGGAUGGUCUCGACCUCCUGACCUUGUGAUCCACCUGCCUCAGCCUCCCAAAGUGCUGGGAUUACAGGUGUGAGCCACCGUGCCUGGCCAAGGCUGUGGAUUUUAGGGAGAGCAACCACAGGCAUUGGGCAGAAGUGGCCAACAGGGCCCAGCCCCAGUCUUGGGUCUCUUGACAGCCAUGUGCCUGGCCCCAGCAGGGGAUCACCACAGCCUUUAAACCGAGCGUUAUUCUUGUUGGCAGCGCCUUACAUCCUUCUGGAGGAGCCUGCUCUUGAAUCAAUAAGCCCCGAUAUGCCUCACCAUCUCUUGCCACUCAGCCUAUGUGCCGCCCGGCUUCAAAACCAGGCUGCUGGGGACGCUGCACAGCAGUGCUUCCUGGCUGGCCUCUGACCGCAGCCUGCUGUGCCCUCCGCCGGCCCUGCCAUUUACAGGGGGCUCUCACACCCAUUCCAUCUGAACUCCCCUGGGCUUCCGUCUUCUGGUCUGUGGAAUGGGACUGGGUAAUAAUCAGCUGGUAUUUAUUAAGAGCCUGCUUUGCUCCUGCCCAGUGCACACAUCGUCUGGGGUCUGGUCACAGUGCAGGUCUGGGUGGAUGGGCCUGGGACGAGGUCCAGUUCUGCAUUUCCAACAAGCUCCCAGAUGAAGCCUGCGCCGGAGCAGGGUUCUCAGCCUCGCCCAUCACACUCACCCACUUCCGCCCAGCAGCAGCAGGUGUGUUGUCCGACAUCCUUCCUCUGGAGGGCCUGCGCUCCUCCGCUAAACCCAGUUCCGGUGCUGUGGGGAGCUCAGAGGCCGGGGAGGAGAGGGAGCUCGGGGUGCAGCCCCACGGUUCGUAUCCCCAUCCCCCCACCAACACCCAGUGCGGUGGGCAGCCCCGCAGGUGAUCUGACGCACCAGCAGGUGCUGCCCCCUGUGCCCCCUCUGGUGGGGUGUGAGCACCACCGGAACAGGGGACUGCUGUGCCUGGGUUGCUGCCUGGCACCCAGCGGUCGCUCAGGACCCCGAGGAGGGCAGGGUGGGCCCAGGAGCUGGACGCAGCAGGUCGGGGUCCCUGGGUGGGCAAAGUGGGCGCUGGUGCUGCUUGAGGGGAGUGGCUCCUGCCCAGCAUGGCAGUUCUGGCUUCAGGGGUGUGGCAGUGUCCCCUCCCUUCUCUUUAGCUAUACAUGGGUUUGGGGAUUGAGGAAGGGCCACCCACAAGCUGGCCCCGAGUACAGGGACUGUAGGGUGCGGCCCUCGGGAAGCCCCUCGCAGUGCCAGCCACAAACCAGGAGAACGGGUUCGUCUGCCUGGCUGGAGGCCCUGGGAGCCGCACUCCACCCGUCUGUGGCAGACCCAGGACCUGGAGGUACCUGCAGAGUGUGAGCUGGGGAGGGUGGGCAGCGGGCGGCACUGGGCCCAGGGAGGGGAAGUGAGCCCUGGGUGGGCACAGUCAGGCAGAGGCCCCAGAGCCAAGAUGGGGAGGGCGGGGCCCGGCAGCCAGAGGCAGGAAGUGCUGGUGGAUGAAGGCCUCCUGGAGCCUCCGUGGGAAACAGUGCCUGGGCCAGGGUUUAGCAGGUGAGGUUAGGACAGGGGUGCAGAGUGCAGAGGGUUGGUGUGGGCAUGGGCUGGCCUGGGAAGUGAUGUUGGGUGAUUUUGGGGCUCGGGCAGGUGGUCCGGGGCUCUGCCUGUGUCCCUGUGUUGGCCGGGGACCAGCAGGAAUGAAUUCCUGGCAGAACUGUGGGUCUGACAGCAGAGCCAGCCUGGGGGGGCCCUGGGGCUCUGGGGCUCUGGGCUGCUCUUAGGACCUUGAGGGAGCUAGGACAGGAAAGAGAAAUGGGGAGGGGUCUGUGGAGAGAGGGGCAUGGGCCUGUGGCAGAGUUGAGAAACUGAUGGCCAGAGAGGCCAUGCCUGGUCCAAGGCAGGCACAAGGUGAAUCCCAGGUCAGUUUGCCCAUACCUGUGUCCCAGUCUCUACCUGUCGCUGGGAUUGGGGAGGGGUGCUGGGCACCAUGACCUCGCUGAUAGGAAAUGAGGGGUCCUGGUGUGCAGCUGUCAUCUGGGGUGAACCGGCUGAUAACUAGGGGCUGGAAACCAAGGGUCCCCCAAAAAGGAGAUCUGGGAGGACUUCCUGGAGGAAGAGACUUUGCACUGGUAAGAGUGAGGGAGGGCUCUGUCCAUGUGAGAGGCAUGGCCUUUUCUGACAAGUGGAGGCUGGGAUUGUUGGGUUGGGGGGCACUAAGGGUGGGCCCUGCCCAGCUUCCCAGCCUCCUCUGUGAGGCCGGAGGGAGGGGGCCUGGUGAGUCUGGAAUCACACAGGGUGGGGUUCCCAGGAGAGUGAGCCCAGGACCUGUGGGUACUAGGCAAGGCCGGAGAGGACCCACGAGGGAGGCCCAAGCUGGAAUGGCGUCCACUCUGGAUGUGGGCAUCUGGAUGGGCUGUGGAGAGUCCGGCCCUGUCCUGCGAGCACUGCAUAGCCUGGGCUGUGCUGAGUGUGGCCAGCCGGUGAGGGGCUGUGUGCUGGCUGGAGGGCACCUGGGAGCCACCUCCUGAGGCACUGCCACGCCACCUUCCCCACACAGCCUCCCCUAAGGCAGAGUCAGGGCUGGGAGCCAGGCAGCCCUGGGAGGAGGGGACGGGCAGGGGCUACAGCCUCUGCGCUGAGGUGUGACCUUGAGCAGCUCCUGGUCUUCCCUGGCCUCAGCUUCCUCACCUGUCAAGUGGGGGAAUAGAGGCCCCUGCCUCCCGGGUUAUGAGAGGACUCAGGAUGGCACAUGUGUGGGGUGCCCUCCGGGGCCUGCCUCGGACCCCCAGCUCAGGGCUUUGCAGGCAUUUAGACUCUGGUGAGAAGAGGCUGAGCCCAGGGCAUCCCUGUGUCCUGCCCCCAAACGCGAACACGCAGGCACUCAGGAACCUGCAGGAGCUGUGGAGUCAGCGCAGUGAAGACGUGUGACCGGUGCGAGGCAGACACCCAUCACGGCAGGUGCCCCCGAGAAUUCCGGGCAGAGCCCACGUUGCUCUGUCUUCAGCCCCAUAGCUAGUUGGUUUCUGAAUUUUGUUUUUUGGAAACUGCACUGAACUGAUUCACACCGAUGAGCAGCUGCCGACAGUGACAGCGUCCAGCAUUCCUCUGGGCGCCUUCAGUUAGACCGAGAGAGACAGGAGUGGGGGUGUUUUAGUUAUCAAAGCUGGCUCCCGGGUCUGGAUGCCAGGGUCAGGCAUGGGGGCUCCUGCAGCGAGCUCUGGGGGUCUCAGUGGAGGGGGCAGGGCUCUGGUCGUUCUGCUCCACCACGUGCUAGAAGGAGGGGCCCCGGGGCCAUGGCUGGCAUUGGGCCCCACCCACUGCCUCCCUCGGACGGCUGAAUGGUGUGGGUCAUCCACUCCUGUUCUCCUCUGACCCGCCUCCUUCAGGAGUUCUGAACCUGGCAUUUGAUGCCCGAUGGACAAUAAGGGCUCCCCACGAGGCUGCUCCUCAGGGCUCAGGAUCUUCAGUCAGGCAAAGGCUCCCCAAGUUCCAGGGGUGCCGUCCUGGACUCCUGAGCCUGCCCGCCUGCCUCCGCAGGUCCUGUCUGUGCGAGUGGGAGUGAGCCGUGUGCUCCGCAGACACCUGACCUGUGCGCUUAUGACGGCCUCUCCUUUGCACAUGGCCUCGACUUGGCUGUCCCCCUCUCCCUGGCUGCUGAUCUCCCAGUGCCCAGUUAUGCCCAGGUCUCUGCCCACCUCAGCCCACACUGGGUGGGGAAAUGCUGGCGCAAAACCUGGCUUAUUGGGGUUGCAGCCAAGUAGCCCUUGAUUCUUCCUACCACUCCCCUACCCGAGAGAGGACCUGCUCACCUCCCCAUCCUCGGGGUCUGUGCCCGACGCCUCUCUCUGCGGUUGGCACGGCUCAUCCUCUGGCUGGGGCAUGUGACACCUGGCCAAGGAUGUGGCGUCUGAGGCUCCCCCAUCUGUCUGCCCAGCUCCUUGCCCUUCCCUGCGUGGGGCCCGUCCCAGGAGAGCCUGCCCUGACCCUUCCCACCUGCGGUCAUCUGUCCCCUCCCAGGCUGCCGGCCUGGUCUGCACGGUCGAGCUUCAAUCCACAGUGGAGGCCUUGGGCUGUGCUGCUGUCUGUCUAUCCAUCCGUAAAUCCAUCUAUCCCCUGCCAGCCCCUUCCCUCAGCACCCCUGGCUCAGCCGUGCCAUUCCUGGUUGGCCCUGGAGGUCCUAUUUGCUGGUCCUUGAGUUUCCCACUGAUUGUGAAGAGACAAUAAUUGUCCAGAGGGGAUCGAAGGGGCGCCUGUGCGGAGCUGGUCCACACUCUGAGGCCCGGGCCUCGGCCGUUGGUCGGGGGGGUUUUCCACUUGUUGUUGACAGAGGCGCCUCCCAUGGCAGUGGGGUGCAGGGUCUCCCCUGGGGAUGUGAGGCCGGUGAGGGCGGAAGGGGAGCAGGCAGGGGCCCGGGGCUCUCCAGAUCUACCACCCCACCACCUCACUGGCUCUUCUUGCCCGGAGCUCAAUGCAGGGAUCCCCGUGCCUGACCCUGGCAUCCACAGACCCGGGGGCCAGCUUUGAGGAGGCGCUGCUGGCUCUGGUGGAGGUGGUGACAUGGGGCUCUGGAGACUUGGGGGCCGCUCAUCCUUCUUCCUGUGGGCUCCACCAUAUUCAUCCUUGGGGGAUUAAUCUGAAGCUGUCCGUAGAAGCUGGACUGGGACCCUCAAGCCAGCCCUGGGCUGGGGCCAGCCAGGCCCUUUCUGCCUCGGAACUGCUGCACCUGCUGCCCGUAGUCGGCUCUUGCCAACUCAAAGUUCAAGCAUAGCAGGCCAAGUCCCCCCCCCACCCCCAGGCAACCCCUUUGUGCGCUCCCCCCACUACCCCCUCCUGUGCUGCCUCCCCAGUAGCCUGGGUACAGCUAUGGGGGUGGGGGCAGGCACAGCAACAGUAACCUGCCUCCCCACUCCCCGCCAUCUCUGGUCAUUGGUCAGGAGCUCAUCAGUGCUGAGUUAAGGACUCAGACAGGCCCCCCGCCCCAGCCCCUACCUCACAUCCCUCUCAGCUGACCCCAACUCCUCCCCAAGACUUGGAUCCCAAAGGAGCCAGUGUCUGGGGGGCAUCCAGGCAGCACCUACCUCUUGUCCUUCCUCCCGCUGCUCGAUUCCACUUUCAGCCCCCUGCCCUGUGAUUUCAGGACAAAGCUUCCCAGGUGCAGGUCUGAAAGCUUCCACCUCCUUCGAGAGGUGGGUGUGGGGGCCUGUGGGGCCCAGUGAUGCUGGCAAGGGGAGAAGGUCCAGGCAGGGGCGGGGUUGCGGAUCCACAGUGGGAUGCGGGGCUGAACGGUUAUGUCCCGGUAGGUAGGGGCUGCAGAAAGAGCCCCGAGGGCUGGGGAGUCCCGGAGCUGGACCACAGGAAGGGCCUCAAGUCCGCCUGCCAGGUCCAGCUUCUCAGGACCCCAGGGCUGGGGCACACUCUUUGCACCCCGCUUUACAGAUGAGGAAACUGAGUCAGAGAGGGAGAGUUUAAGGGCAGGCUUCAAGCUGACCUCUGACCCAGAGACCCCCAUUUUGAAAAAUCUCCUCUUCAGGCCUCAGGCCUGGAGGGCUGUGGGAGUCGCUCCUCUCUCGAUUGGAGGGUGGAGUGAGUGAUCGAUCGAUUCAUUGCCUUUACCCACAUCAGUAUCUCUUCCCCCUUGGGACUCCUUCUGAGGAGCGUUGAGUGUGUAUCUCGUUUUUUGUAUUUUCCAGAAUGCUGUGUUGUUCUGGUGCGAGUAUUUUAAUCACUAUUAGUGGGGUGCAAAUGUUUUGGCCUUAGUAUCCCUUCACACUUUUUUUUUUUUUUUUGAGACAGAGUCUCACCCAGGCUGGAGUGCAGUGGUGCGAUCUCGGCUCACUGCAACCUCUGCUUCCCGGGUUCAAUCGAUUUUCCUGCCUCAGCCUCCUGAGUAGCUGAGAUUACAGGCAUGCGCCACCACGCCUGGCUAAUUUUUGUAUUUUUAGUAGAGACGGAAUUUCACCACGUUGGCCAGGCUGGUCUCGAACUCCUGACAUCAGAUGAUCCACCCUCCUUGGCCUCCCAAAGUGCUGGGGUUACAGACGUGAGCCACUGCAUCUGGCCCCAACACUCUUAGCAGCUGUUGAGAAGCCCAAGGAGCUUUGGUUUUGGGGUGCUGUCUGUAGUGUGUGCUGGAGCAGGCUUGCACGUGCUCACCAGAACCUACGGUAGCAUCUCCAGUAAUCUCAUCAGCUGGUUGUUGGACACAACCAUUAUUCAAAUCAAAUUAAAGUAAUUAAAUUAUGUAAAACACAGAAAUACUAUAAAAAGCAAAGGAAAUAAAUACUCAAAAUGUAUUGCUUCCUAAUUAUUUCUAGCUUACUGUGAUCCACGCUGUUAUCUGGGUGCAGUCUGUGUGUGUCUGUCUAGUGGAAAUGCCGUAUGAUACUGUCCAUCUCUUCCCCACUCUGUGCUCUGUGGGCUCAAGUGGGAAUAUUUACACCACAUGUUUACACCACCUUCAUAAAAAAAUAUGAAAAUAUUCAUGAAGUCUUAUUGAAAAUAACAACGGGCCAGGCACAGUGGUUCACACCUGUAAUCCCAGCACAUUGGGAGGUCAAGGCAGGAGGAUCACCUGAGGCCAGGAGUUUGAGACCAGCCUGGCCAACAUGGUGAA
rnacentral:lncRNA from 1 species